AUGCAAGAUCUAAAUGAUAUUGACGAUGUUCAGAUGGGUUGGACUUCCCGCCGACCCUACAGUAUAAAAGAACAAGGUUUCUGAGGACUCAGCAGAUAUAACGACACGAGGCAAAAAAUAUCUAAUAAUUUGAAGAGGAACUUCAAAACUUGAAGAGCUACAAAAAUGAAGAUUUUGUUAUUAUUAACAGCAGUUGUUGCAUUUUGUUGUAAGUGUACAAACUUUUCCAAUGUUAUACUUAAUAAUAAUUGCCAAGCUAGAUGUUUUGAAAUCUAGAUAUACUGCCCAUUUAGGACAUACUCAAAUUAACUUUAAGGCCAUUUGGUCAUGGUAAUGGCAUUGAUCUACUACAUUACAAACGCACUGGCGUGUAGCAUUAAAGCUGAGUACCAUAUAUAAAUAGGUAAACCCGCAUUUCCCUAAAAAUCUGCAGAAACACUGAUGAAGAUUAAGACAGCUAUAUAUUACUUUUUAUUUUAUUUGCAGAUGCAACCUCAGUUGAUACAGAAGAAGGUAAGCCAUAUUCAGAUCAUAUUUAUACUAAGCGAUAAAAUUUAUUUUGACUUAAUUUGCCAAGCAAGCAUGC